rnacentral:rRNA from 1 species
UGCCAGCAGCCGCGGUAAUACGGAGGAUCCAAGCGUUAUCCGGAAUUACUGGGCGUAAAGAGUUGUGUAGGCGGCUUAUUAAGCAAGGUGUGAAAUCGUACGGCUCAACCGUAUAAACAUACUUUGAACUGAUGAGCUAGAGGGUGAGAGAGGUUAUUGGAAUUUCUAGUGUAGGAGUGAAAUCCGUAGAUAUUAGAAGGAACACCGAUGGCGUAGGCAGAUAACUGGCUCAUUCCUGACGCUCAGACACGAAAGCGUGGGUAGCAAACGGGAUUAGAUA